GGAUUAGAUACCCUGGUAGUCCACGCCGUAAACGAUGCGAACUAGAUCGAGGAGGUUUGACGCCCUCUUGGUCGAAGCAAAAGUGUUAAGUUCGCCGCCUGGGGAGUACGGUCGCAAGGCUAAAACUCAAAGGAAUUGACGGGGGCUCACACAAGCGGUGGAGCAUGUGGCUUAAUUCGAAGCAACGCGAAGAACCUUAUCCAGGGUUUGACAUGUAUGGAUUAACUCCGUGAAAGCGGAGCCACACCCUCGGGUGGAACAUACACAGGUGCUGCAUGGCUGUCGUCAGCUCGUGCCG
rnacentral:rRNA from 1 species